AGAGUGAAACUCCGUCUCAAAAAAAAAAAAAAAAUUUACUCUGGGGAAACGUGAAGGGUGGAUCACUUCACAUAAGACUGCAAUAUUCAUGAACCAGGAGAUAAUCCGUAACAAAUGGUGCCUGAAAAACUGUUUAUUCCCAAAGCCUGAUACCAUCAAUUAGAGGUAAAGUAUCUCAUUUUAAGAAAAAUGGAAUGAAUUUAAGUAAUACCACAUUUACAGUGGACUUGCAUCUUACUCAAAGGAUAAGCUCUAAACAGCAAAGGUCUAAAACUUGAGAGAGUGACAGCUGCUUCUUCCUGACUCUUGGGAUACUGUCCAGGAGCCCUGAGCCACAGUACAAGAAGUCCAACCAUCCGGAGGCCUCUAUGCUGGAGACAUCACAUGCAGGUGCUCCAGUCAACAAGUCCCAGCUGAGGGUUGCUUGCACUGAAGGACACUGGCUGUGGGAUUGAUUGUGGCUUUGGCAAGAUUAAAAUCAUGGCAGGUCCGGAGGGUGAUGCCCAAUUCCAGUUCCCUGGUAGUAAAACGUAUUUCAGAGCGGGCAUGGUAGUUCAUGCCUAUAAUCCCAGCACUUUUGAAAGGCCAAGGGAAGAGCCUCACUUAAGCCCAGGAAUUUGUGACCAGCCUGGGCAACAUAGUAUGACCCUGUCUCUACAUAAAUUCAAAAAUUAGCCAGGCAUGGUGGCACGCAUCUGUAGUCCCUGCUACUCAGGAGGCUGAGAGGUGGGAGAAUCACUUGAGCCCAGCAUUUUGAGGCUGUAGUGAGCUGACUGCACCACUGUAUUCCAGUCUGGGCAACAGAGCAAGACCCUGUCUCAAAAAAAACCAGGCAUGGUGGCUCACGCCAGUAAUCCCAGCACUUUGGGAGGCCGAGGUGGGCAGAUCACCUGAGGUAAGGAGUUCAAGACCAGCCUGACCAACAUGGAGAAACUCCCAUCUCUACUAAAAAUACAAAAUCAGCCAGGCGUGGCGGCGCAUGCCUGUAAUCCCAGCUACUCGGGAGGCUGAGGCAGGAGAAUCACUUGAACCCAGGAGGUGGAGGUUGUAGUGAGCUGAGAUCGUGCCAUUGCACUCCAGCCUGGGCAACAAGAGUGAAACUCCAUCUCAAAAAUAAAAUAAAAUAAAUACAUAAAAAACAAAAAAGUCAACUCUUAUACGCACACAGGUGGGAUGAAUUGACAUAUAGAGACAUUGCUUUCAUGAUCUUACACUUCAAGUUAAGAUCUUUAAAAACUCCAGCUGUGAAAGCAGUAUACAUGGGUUCUAAACUGUGCCUCAUCUGUUAAAUUCCCAUGCUAAUCCAAGUUCCAUGGAAAAGCUAAUGUCAACUCAUCAUGUGAUCAUUCAAUUUGUACAAUAAACUAUGAACCUGGAAAAAAAAAAAAAAAAAA